UGAGGUGUGGCUCAGUGGCAGAGCACUUACCUGGUAUGCAAGAGGCCCUGGGUUCAAUCCCCAGCACUGCAA